rnacentral:rRNA from 1 species
AACGAACGCUGGCGGCAUGCCUAACACAUGCAAGUCGAACGAGACCUUCGGGUCUAGUGGCGCACGGGUGCGUAACGCGUGGGAACCUGCCCUUAGGUUCGGAAUAACUCACCGAAAGGGGUGCUAAUACCGCAUAAUGUCUUCGGACCAAAGAUUUAUCGCCUUUGGAUGGGCCCGCGUUGGAUUAGCUAGUUGGUAGGGUAAAAGCCUACCAAGGCGACGAUCCAUAGCUGGUCUGAGAGGAUGAUCAGCCACACUGGGACUGAGACACGGCCCAGACUCCUACGGGAGGCAGCAGUGGGGAAUAUUGGACAAUGGGCGAAAGCCUGAUCCAGCAAUGCCGCGUGAGUGAUGAAGGCAUUAGGGUUGUAAAGCUCUUUUAUCCGGGAUGAUAAUGACAGUACCGGGAGAAUAAGCCCCGGCUAACUCCGUG